GACGAACGCUGGCGGCGUGCUUAACACAUGCAAGUCGAACGGAAAGGCCCUGCUUUUGUGUGGUGCUCGAGUGGCGAACGGGUGAGUAACACGUGAGUAACCUGCCCUUGACUUUGGGAUAACUUCAGGAAACUGGGGCUAAUACCGGAUAGGAGCUCCUGCUGCAUGGUGGGGGUUGGAAAGUUUCGGCGGUUGGGGAUGGACUCGCGGCUUAUCAGCUUGUUGGUGGGGUAGUGGCUUACCAAGGCUUUGACGGGUAGCCGGCCUGAGAGGGUGACCGGCCACAUUGGGACUGAGAUACGGACCAGACUCCUACGUUAGGCAGCAGUGGGGAAUAUUGCACAAUGGGCGGAAGCCUGAUGCAGCAACGCCGCGUGCGGGAUGACGGCCUUCGGGUUGUAAACCGCUUUCGCCUGUGACGAAGCGUGAGUGACGGUAAUGGGUAAAGAAGCACCGGCUAACUACGUG
rnacentral:rRNA from 1 species